UGGGAGCAGGCGAUUUUGUAUCAGCUAGUUGGUGAGGUAACGGCUCACCAAGGCGACGACGCAUAGCCGGACUGAGAGGUUGGCCGGCCACAUUGGGACUGAGACACUGCCCAGACUCCUACGGGGGGCUGCAGUAACGAAUCUUCCGCAAUGCACGAAAGUGUGACGGAGCGACGCCGCGUGUGGGACGAAGCCCUUCGGGGUGUAAACCACUGUCAGGGGUAAGAAAGUUCUGAUCUACCCCAGAGGAAGGCACGGCUAACUCUGUGCCAGCAGCCGCGGUAAGACAGAGGUGCCGAGCGUUAGGCGGAAUCACUGGGCUUAAAGCGUGUGUAGGCGGACUUCUAAGUACCUUGUGAAAUCCCACGGCUCAACCGUGGAACUGCUCGGUAUACUGGUCGUCUUGAGCCACUUAGGGGCAGUCGGAACAGACGGUGGAGCGGUGAAAUGCGUAGAUAUCGUCUGGAACGCCAAAGGUGAAAACAGACUGCUGGGAGUGUGCUGACGCUGAGACACGAAAGCUAGGGGAGCAAACGGGAUUAGAUACCCCGGUAGUCCUAGCUGUAAACGAUGUCGACUAGAUCGUGGUACCUCUGACGGUUUCACGGUCGAAGCAAAAGUGCUAAGUCGACCGCCUGGGAAGUACGGUCGCAAGGCUAAAACUCAAAGGAAUUGACGGGGGCUCACACAAGCGGUGGAGCAUGUAGUUUAAUUCGAAGCAACGCGCAGAACCUUACCUGGGCUUGACAUGCUAGGAUUAUCUCGAUGAAAGUCGAGUAGGCCCCGCAAGGGGUACAACUAGUACAGGUGCUGCAUGGCUGUCGUCAGCUCGUGUCGUGAGAUGUCGGGUUAAGUCCCUUAACGAGCGAAACCUUUGCCCUUAGUUACCAGCGGGUUAUGCCGGGGACUCUAAGGGGACUGCC
rnacentral:rRNA from 1 species